CGACCCUCAGGCUGUCCUCGAGAGGGGAACAGGCCUGGCGUUGGGGCACUGCAGCGCGGUUACGCGCCGUAGGCCCCGAAUUUCAGUGGCGGGCUCGUCGGAACCUCAGCGUAGUAGAUUCUAUCGCUCGGGUCGUUCCGGCGCGUGUCUGGCCGUAAAACCCCAAACCCCACAA
rnacentral:misc_RNA from 1 species